rnacentral:misc_RNA from 1 species
GAAAUGCGAUAAGUAAUGUGAAUUGCAGAAUUCAGUGAAUCAUCGAAUCUUUGAACGCACAUUGCGCCCGCCAGUAUUCUGGCGGGCAUGCCUGUUCGAGCGUCAUUUCAACCAUCAAGCCCCCGGCUUGUGUUGGGGACCUGCGGCUGCCCGCAGGCCCUGAAAAACAGUGGCGGGCUCGCUGUCACACCGAGCGUAGUAGCAUACAUUCUCGCUUAGGGCGUGCUGCGGGUUCCGGCCGUUAAACGACCUUCAUAACCCAAGGUUGACCUCGGAUCAGGUAGGAAUACCCGCUGAACUUAAGC